rnacentral:rRNA from 1 species
GGUCAAGCAAGCAAGGGCAAACGGUGGAUGCCUUGGCGCCAGGAGGCGAUGAAGGACGUGGCUAGCUGCGAAAAGCCUCGGGGAGCUGCUAAGCAAGCUUUGAUCCGGGGAUUUCCGAAUGGGGAAACCCGUCCGGGGUCAUGCCCGGUCAUCCGGCUCUGAAUUCAUAGGAGCCGGAGGCAAACCCGGGGAACUGAAACAUCUCAGUACCCGGUGGAAUGGAAAUCAACUGAGACUCCCCUAGUAGCGGCGAGCGAACGGGGACCAUGCCUAAACCGGUGGGAAGCAAUUCCUACCGGGGUUGUGGGACUCCAACAUGGGAUCUGGAAGGGUAGGAGAACGGUCUGGAAAGGCCGGCCAGAGAGGGUGACAGCCCUGUAUCCGAAACCUCGAAGGACCCUAGGAGAUUCCCGAGUACCACGGGGCACGUGAAACCCUGUGGGAAUCUGGGUGGACCAUCAUCCAAGGCUAAGUACUACCUGGCGACCGAUAGUGAACCAGUACCGUGAGGGAAAGGCGAAAAGAACCCCGGCGAGGGGAGUGAAAUAGACCCUGAAACCGUUUGCCUACAUUCAGUAGGAGCUCUAUGGCCGAUCUUCGGAUCGGCAACGAGUGACUGCGUACCUUUUGUUUAAUGGGUCCGCGAGUUACUCCUCGGCAGCAAGGUUAAGCCGUGAGGUGUAGCCGUAGCGAAAGCAAGUCUGAACAGGGCGUUCAGUUGCCGGGGGUAGACCCGAAACCGAGUGAUCUAUCCAUGGCCAGGUUGAAGCUCGGGUAAGACCGAGUGGAGGACCGAACCGUAGAAGGUUGAAAACUUCCCGGAUGAGCUGUGGAUAGGGGUGAAAGGCCAAUCAAACUCGGAGAUAGCUGGUUCUCCCCGAAAUAUAUUGAGGUAUAGCCUUGCGUAUCACCACCGGAGGUAGAGCACUGGAUGGGCUAGGGGUCCUACCAGAUUACCGAACCCAACCAAACUCCGAAUACCGGUGAGUGCAGCGUGGGAGUCAGACUGCGGGCGAUAAGGUUCGUGGUCGAGAGGGAAACAGCCCAGACCGCCAGCUAAGGUCCCGAAAUCCGUGCUAAGUGGGAAAGGAUGUGGGAGCGCUUAGACAGCCAGGAGGUUGGCUUAGAAGCAGCCACCCUUUAAAAAGUGCGUAAUAGCUUACUGGUCUAGUGAGCCUGCGCCGAAAAUGUAACGGGGCUUAAGCACGGUACCGAAGCUGCGGGAUUACAAUGCCUUCGGGCAUUGCAAUCGGUAGGGGAGCGUUCCAGUAGCCUGUGAAGCUCGACGGAAACGACGAGUGGAGGUCCUGGAAGUGCUUAUGCGGACAUGAGUAGCGAUAAACAGGGUGAGAAACCCUGUCGCCGUAAGCCUGAGGGUUCCUGAGUAAAGCUAAUCUGCUCAGGGUUAGUCGGCCCCUAAGCCGAGGGCGAAAGCCGUAGGCGAUGGGAAACGGGUUAAUAUUCCCGUACCACUAGAUGGACGUUUGACCGAAGGGGGGACGGAGAAGGGUAGCCGGGCCGGGUGCUGGACAUCCCGGUUCAAGUCUGUAGGCGGGUGGCGCAGGUAAAUCCACGCCGCCAUUCAACGCCGAGAGGCGAUGUCGAGAGCCGUAAGGCUCACAAAGUCGGUGAUCCCAUGCUUCCGAGAAAAGCCUCGUAGGGAGUUCGUCUGGUGACCGUACCGUAAACCGACACAGGUAGGUGGGCAGAGCAUGCCAAGGCGCUUGGGAGAACCCUGGUUAAGGAACUCGGCAAAUUGACACCGUAACUUCGGGAGAAGGUGUGCCUCUGCUGGUGAAGGACUUCGCGUCUCUAGCUGGUGGGGGUUGCAGAGAGCAGGGGGUAGCGACUGUUUACUAAAAACAUAGGACUCUGCGAAGUCGUCAAGACGACGUAUAGGGUCUGACGCCUGCCCGGUGCCGGAAGGUUAAGGGAACCUGUCAGGACUUCGGUCCGAAGCAGUGAACCGAAGCCCCGGUAAACGGCGGCCGUAACUAUAACGGUCCUAAGGUAGCGAAAUUCCUUGUCGGGUAAGUUCCGACCUGCACGAAUGGCGUAACGACUUCCCCACUGUCUCAACCAGGGACUCAGCGAAAUUGAAAUGCCGGUGAAGAUGCCGGCGACCCGCGGAAGGACGGAAAGACCCCGUGCACCUUUACUGCAGCUUCGCAGUGAUCGUCGGUUCGGGAUGUGUAGGAUAGGUGGGAGGCUUUGAAGCCGGAUCGCCAGAUUCGGUGGAGCCAACCUUGAAAUACCACCCUUUUCGCGCUGCCGUUCUAACCUAGGCCCGUAAUCCGGGUCGGGGACAUUGCGUGGUGGGUAGUUUGACUGGGGCGGUCGCCUCCUAAAGAGUAACGGAGGCGCGCAAAGGUUCCCUCAGGCUGAUUGGAAACCAGCCGUAGAGUGCAAACGCACAAGGGAGCUUGACUGCGAGACCUACAAGUCGAGCAGGUGGGAAACCAGGUGUUAGUGAUCCGGUGGUUCCGUAUGGAAGGGCCAUCGCUCAACGGAUAAAAGGUACGCCGGGGAUAACAGGCUUAUCUCCCCCAAGAGUUCACAUCGACGGGGAGGUUUGGCACCUCGAUGUCGGCUCGUCACAUCCUGGGGCUGAAGCAGGUCCCAAGGGUUCGGCUGUUCGCCGAUUAAAGUGGCACGCGAGCUGGGUUUAGAACGUCGUGAGACAGUUCGGUCCCUAUCCUCCGUGGGCGUUGGAGACUUGAGGAGAGCUGUCCCUAGUACGAGAGGACCGGGACGGACGCACCGAUGGUGUACCGGUUGUUGCGCCAGCAGCAUCGCCGGGUAGCCACGUGCGGGAGGGAUAACCGCUGAAAGCAUCUAAGUGGGAAGCCCACUCCAAGAUGAGGUCUCCCCGGGACUUCGGUCCCCUGAAGGGCCGUCCGAGACGAGGACGUUGAUAGGCCGGGGGUGGAAGCACGGCAACGUGUGAAGCUGACCGGUACUAAUCGCCCGUGAGGCUUGACCAC